ensembl:lncRNA
AAUAAUAAAUUGUUUAAGAAAAAAUCAAUGCAAUUAUAAAAUACUGAUUAUUUAUAAAUAUUGAUCAGUAACAGAUAAAAUGGAAUGUUAAAAAUAAUAUAAUGAAAUGUAAUGACAUAAAAAAUCUGAUAUAUAUAUAUAUAUAUAUAUAUAUAUAUAUAAUAAAAAAUUCAAUGAAACAAUGAAAUAAUAAUUUUAGCAUAAUUAUUAAAAUAUGUAAUAAUUAAUAUAAAAUACAAAAUAUGUCAUUGUAUUAAGACCACUAUAAGUAAAGCAGAAUGAAAAUAAAUGCAAAAAAAUAAAAAAUCAAAUGACAAACUAGUGACUGUAUAAGCCACGAUGCUGUGAAGUCGUGUCAUGACUCGCUCCGUGUUUCAGGUCAGCAAGUGACUCUUUCACAGCGCGCGCUCUGAUUAAUGACUGGGAACUGUCCUAAGUGCGCUUUUACUCCUCCAGACUGCGAAAGACCCUCUGAACUCCCUGCUGGAAACGCAAAUCCCCGCAGCGCGUGUGUAUGAGCGGAUCUCACGCAAAUGACGCACGGCUGCGUGACGGCGACAGAAAUGUGCGCAAACUCUACAGACUGCGUGGGACAUGUUGAGGCAGAACACUCUUGGAAACUGUAACUGUUUCUUCAUGGAUGUACAAACGCAUGGCAUGAAGAUCCGUUUACCCUCAAGAUAUUCACACUACAUGUAUGUGCCAUACAGGAGGAUAAAAGCAAUCAAAUUAAGUGUCCUGCUCCUUCUGCUCCAGCUGCAGUUCAGUCAGACCAAACCCAUCGACUUCAUCUGUGACCCAGAGGUGAGGAGACGCAUGGAUGUGACGGAGACGCUGGAGCCGCUCAUGACGCACUGCUUGGACCAGCUGCCCUCGGACGUCCUGCAGCCGUGUGUCCGGAUAAACAUGGGAGCGUGGAAACAGACAUCAGUGAGUACAGCUCCUUCAUCUAACAAGAAAAAUCAAACCAGAAGAAAAACAUUGACUGAAAUAAAGUAA